rnacentral:rRNA from 1 species
AUCGAACGCUGGCGGCAGGCCUAACACAUGCAAGUCGAGCGGCAGCACGGGUACUUGUACCUGGUGGCGAGCGGCGGACGGGUGAGUAAUGCCUAGGAAUCUGCCUGGUAGUGGGGGAUAACGCUCGGAAACGGACGCUAAUACCGCAUACGUCCUACGGGAGAAAGCAGGGGACCUUCGGGCCUUGCGCUAUCAGAUGAGCCUAGGUCGGAUUAGCUAGUUGGUGAGGUAAUGGCUCACCAAGGCGACGAUCCGUAACUGGUCUGAGAGGAUGAUCAGUCACACUGGAACUGGAGACACGGUCCAGACUCCUACGGGAGGCAGCAGUGGGAAUAUUGGACAAUGGGCGAAAGCCUGAUCCAGCCAUGCCGCGUGUGUGAAGAAGGUCUUCGGAUUGUAAAGCACUUUAAGUUGGGAGGAAGGGCAUUAACCUAAUACGUUGGUGUCUUGACGUUACCGACAGAAUAAGCACCGGCUAACUCUGUGCCAGC